GAACUGUGAGACAGGUGCUGCAUGGCUGUCGUCAGCUCGUGUUGUGAAAUGUUGGGUUAAGUCCCGCAACGAGCGCAACCCUUAUCCUUUGUUGCCAGCGGUCCGGCCGGGAACUCAAAGGAGACUGCCAGUGAUAAACUGGAGGAAGGUGGGGAUGACGUCAAGUCAUCAUGGCCCUUACGACCAGGGCUACACACGUGCUACAAUGGCGCAUACAAAGAGAAGCGACCUCGCGAGAGCAAGCGGACCUCAUAAAGUGCGUCGUAGUCCGGAUUGGAGUCUGCAACUCGACUCCAUGACGUCGGAAUCGCUAGUAAUCGUGGAUCAGAAUGCCACGGUGAAUACGUUCCCGGGCCUUGUACACACCGCCCGUCACACCAUGGGAGUGGGUUGCAAAAGAAGUAGGUAGCUUAACCUUCGGGAGGGCGCUUACCACUUUGUGAUUCAUGACUGGGGUGAAGUCGUAACAAGGUAACCGUAGGGGAACCUGCGGCUGGAUCACCUC
rnacentral:rRNA from 1 species